AAUCUUGAACAAUGGGGGCAACCGUGAUCCAGAAGGCCCGCGUGAGCGUAAAGGCCUUAGGGUGGUAAAGCUCUUUCGCCUGUGAAGAUAAUUGAAGGUACAGGUAAAGAAUCCCUGGGAAAUCCCGUGCCAGCAGCGCGGUAAUACGGAGGGGGUCAACGUUGUUCGGAAUUACUGGGCGUAAAGCGCACGUAGGCGGACUGGAAAGUUGGGGGGAAAUCCCAGGGCUCAACCCUGGAACUGCCUCCAAAACUAUCAGUCUAGAGUUCGAGAGAGGUGAAUCAAUUCCGAUUGUAGAGGUGAAAUUCGUAGAUAUUCGGAGGAACACCAGUGGCGAAGGCGGCUCUCAGGCUUGAUACUGAGGCUGAGGUCGAAAGUCGGGGAGCAAACAGGAUAAGAUACCCCUUUAGUGCACACCGUG
rnacentral:rRNA from 1 species